rnacentral:lncRNA from 1 species
ACAAAUAAGUAAAUCUCAACUUUAGUUAUGUAAUCUCAUUAAAUUUAGAACCAACCUGUCCCAUGGAAGAAAACAAGCAGAACAAGAGCACAGGACACUAGAGAGGUACCUGUUGAUGAAAGUUGGACUACUAAAAGAAAAAUACAGAUGCCUAUCUGCUCAGAAUAGUUUAGAAUCAUUCCAGCUGGGGAGCAGGUAAACAAAUUCAAGGGCGUUUUGCAUAGCUUACAUAGCUCUUUUCAUGAUGUAGAAUUCUGAAGAACUAUAUUCAAA